GGCGGGAAGAGGCUGCUUUUGGUUACCGGGGUGGGGGGAGGAUGUUUCACCAAGCCUAACCGUUAUUGAAUGGACCUGGGAUGAGACCGUUUGGAAGAGGAUUUCUUUCCUUUAAACUCGCAGCAUCUGAGGGGCUUCGAUGAAUGCGAAAGCUUUUUUUUCAUCGAAUCUCCUUCCGGGGUUUCACACUUUUUUUGUUAAUAAUAUGUUUGACCGACGAGGCAAGAGAGUUAUUCGAUCCGUAUUCGUGAAUCUGUUUGUCGUUGAGUUAAUGUGGCAAGUGGUGAACGCCUAGGAUGGACGCUCUCGGUAAUCGCCGGGGGAGUGCGGAGUUUGGACACGGUGACAUUACUGCUAUUCCAGUGACAUUACUACUAUACUAUUACCUCCCCACAUUUUCCCCUUCCUUGCCAUCCUAUUUUGAUUUUAUGAAUGUUUGCAUGUUGGAGAUGAAAACACUAUCCACAAUUAUCAAGCUUGAAGACAAUGAACUGAGAUAUGGAAAAUAAUCUUGUAUUUCAAGAAGCUGCUUUUGGCAGAGUGGCAGUGAAACAAAGGAUGCCUUACUGAACACAGGCUAGGAACUCUCUUUCUUUCUAUGUCAGGAAAAAAUAGUUUGUAGUGACUAUACAGGUGUUCCCUCAUUUAUGAACGUCCAACUCACAAACACAAUUCCAUACAGAAAUGUAAUUUUAACGACCCAACAUAUGUGCAUUUUCUGUAUGUAUGAACAACUGCUUUACAUUGCCUUGCAUUGUGUUCGGACUUGUGUAUGAAUCAAUUUGUGAACGACUUCAGAAGAGUACCUGUUUGCAACCUGGGGACUGCCUGUACAGAUUUAAAAGAAACAUCAGGACUAAGAGAACUGAAGGGAUAACCGCAAUAUUGGCUAUUACUGAUGGAUCAAAACACUUAUUAAACAAUUGUAAACACAGGUCAUAACCUUAUUCUCAAGGACAUCCAAAAGAUUCUUAUCUAUAUAUUCUUUUAACUUCUUUUUGAAGUGGAUUCUAUCCCCUUUUAAUUUUGUACUUGUGUGUGACUGCCCAAAGGCUGUUAUCUUUC